rfam:Danaus plexippus plexippus isolate F-2 unplaced genomic scaffold DPSCF300042, whole genome shotgun sequence.
AGUGCCAGUGACUCACUCAACCUGGGUGUGAUGUGUGCACUCUGUGCUCGGCCCAUCACAACCUCCUUGAGUGAGCGACUGUGGCU